GACGAACGCUGGCGGCGUGCUUAACACAUGCAAGUCGAACGAAGUGGCGAACGGGUGAGUAACGCGUAAUCAACCUGCCAUUCAGAGGGGGACAACAGGUGGAAACGACUGCUAAUACGGCAUACGGAAGGAGGGCCUGCGUUUGAUUAGCUAGUUGGAGGGGUAACGGCCCACCAAGGCGAUGAUCAGUAGCCGGUCCGAGAGGAUGAACGGCCACAUUGGGCAUGGUACACGGGCCAGACUCCUACGGGAGGGAGCAGUGUGGAAUCUUCCGGAAUGGACGAAAGUCUGACGGAGCAACGCCGCGUUAGUGAUUACGGCCUUCGGGUUGUAAAGCUCUGUUAAUCGGGACGCGGUACCGGAAUAGAAAGCCACGGCUAACUACGUGCCAGCAGCCGCGGUAAUUC
rnacentral:rRNA from 1 species